UACGAAGGGGGCUAGCGUUGCUCGGAAUUACUGGGCGUAAAGCGCACGUAGGCGGCUUUCUAAGUCGGGGGUGAAAUCCUGGAGCUCAACUCCAGAACUGCCUUCGAUACUGGAGAGCUUGAGUCCGGGAGAGGUGAGUGGAACUGCGAGUGUAGAGGUGAAAUUCGUAGAUAUUCGCAAGAACACCAGUGGCGAAGGCGGCUCACUGGCCCGGUACUGACGCUGAGGCGCGACAGCGUGGGGAGCAAACAGG
rnacentral:rRNA from 1 species